UUGAACGCUGGCGGCAGGCCUAACACAUGCAAGUCGAACGGUAACAGGAAACAGCUUGCUGUUUCGCUGACGAGUGGCGGACGGGUGAGUAAUGUCUGGGAAACUGCCUGAUGGAGGGGGAUAACUACUGGAAACGGUAGCUAAUACCGCAUAACGUCGCAAGACCAAAGAGGGGGACCUUCGGGCCUCUUGCCAUCGGAUGUGCCCAGAUGGGAUUAGCUAGUAGGUGGGGUAACGGCUCACCUAGGCGACGAUCCCUAGCUGGUCUGAGAGGAUGACCAGCCACACUGGAACUGAGACACGGUCCAGACUCCUACGGGAGGCAGCAGUGGGGAAUAUUGCACAAUGGGCGCAAGCCUGAUGCAGCCAUGCCGCGUGUAUGAAGAAGGCCUUCGGGUUGUAAAGUACUUUCAGCGGGGAGGAAGGGAGUAAAGUUAAUACCUUUGCUCAUUGACGUUACCCGCAGAAGAAGCACCGGCUAACUCCGUGCCAGCAGCCGCGGUAAUACGGAGGGUGCAAGCGUUAAUCGGAAUUACUGGGCGUAAAGCGCACGCAGGCGGUUUGUUAAGUCAGAUGUGAAAUCCCCGGGCUCAACCUGGAACUGCAUCUGAUACUGGCAAGCUUGAGUCUCGUAGAGGGGGGUAGAAUUCCAGGUGUAGCGGUGAAAUGCGUAGAGAUCUGGAGGAAUACCGGUGGCGAAGGCGGCCCCCUGGACGAAGACUGACGCUCAGGUGCGAAAGCGUGGGGAGCAAACAGGAUUAGAUACCCUGGUAGUCCACGCCGUAAACGAUGUCGACUUGGAGGUUGUGCCCUUGAGGCGUGGCUUCCGGAGCUAACGCGUUAAGUCGACCGCCUGGGGAGUACGGCCGCAAGGUUAAAACUCAAAUGAAUUGACGGGGGCCCGCACAAGCGGUGGAGCAUGUGGUUUAAUUCGAUGCAACGCGAAGAACCUUACCUGGUCUUGACAUCCACGGAAGUUUUCAGAGAUGAGAAUGUGCCUUCGGGAACCGUGAGACAGGUGCUGCAUGGCUGUCGUCAGCUCGUGUUGUGAAAUGUUGGGUUAAGUCCCGCAACGAGCGCAACCCUUAUCCUUUGUUGCCAGCGGUCCGGCCGGGAACUCAAAGGAGACUGCCAGUGAUAAACUGGAGGAAGGUGGGGAUGACGUCAAGUCAUCAUGGCCCUUACGACCAGGGCUACACACGUGCUACAAUGGCGCAUACAAAGAGAAGCGACCUCGCGAGAGCAAGCGGACCUCAUAAAGUGCGUCGUAGUCCGGAUUGGAGUCUGCAACUCGACUCCAUGAAGUCGGAAUCGCUAGUAAUCGUGGAUCAGAAUGCCACGGUGAAUACGUUCCCGGGCCUUGUACACACCGCCCGUCACACCAUGGGAGUGGGUUGCAAAAGAAGUAGGUAGCUUAACCUUCGGGAGGGCGCUUACCACUUUGUGAUUCAUGACUGGGGUG
rnacentral:rRNA from 1 species